CCGGACGUCGUCAAGCACCUCCUCUUCUCGACAGCGAUCAACUGAAGAAUGACAAAAGUCCGGAGGCCUACAAGCAAUUCAUCAAUGGCAGGGCAUCUUCGUCAUGCGGCGGCCGGUAUCCAUCGGAAGCACACUGCUAAGUAAGCACAUGAACGGGAGAAGUCAACACACGGAGUCCAGCCACUGAACACAGAGCGAGUCGCUUCCCGACAGUACCGCAGAGUCCACUACAGCACAGAACAGUAGGUACCAGGAUGUCCUUCAGUUGACUCUCCGCGUAAAGCAACCACGACUGUGACAGAGCAAGAACCACACUUCAUGUUAUUAAGUCAUAACAUGAUUUGUCAGACUGCUACCACGACUACGAAUAACCAUCCAUUCAUUUUCUGAGCAGCUUAUCCUCACAAGGGUCACAGCAGCGCCGGAGCCAAUCCCAGCUAUCAUCGGACGCGGGAUGCACCCUGAACCGGUCGCCGGCCAAUCGCAGGGCACAUGGAGACAAACAGCCGCACUCGCAAUCAGACUUUUCGGGGCAGUUUAGAGGGUCCGUUUUUGGGAUGUGCCCGGAGAAAAGCCAGGCGGGCACGGGGAGAACAUGCAAACUCCGCACGGGCGAGGCUGGGAUUUGAACCUCAGAAGUGCGCCGCCCUGCUGCCACUAAUAAUAAUCAUACUAAUACUAAUGGUAAUAAAAGGCUCAUCGUGCAUGAA